rnacentral:lncRNA from 1 species
AUAAUACAUCCGAAUACAUAAAUUAUAUUAAUUAAAAAAAUAUAUGAAUACAUUCAUGGAGUAUAGCGAAACAGUAAAUGCAAUGAAAUACAUAGAAUGCAUGGAUGCAUUGAAAUACAAUGAAAAAAAGAUAAUGAUUACAAUGAAAUACAUGGAAAUACAUUCAAAAUUAUUAACAGAAAAUUCAAGUUGCUCAGUCUUUAACCCCGUCGACUUUGUUCAAAAACAACUAAUGUCGUCUUAUUGAAGCAGCAUCAGUAUCCAGUCCUCGCUUGUCAUUACCGUAGCCUCCGUUGCUGACGAUUAAUACCAGUAAAAUAACAGAGAUUUUUAUUGAUCUGUUAUGUUGCGUCAGAGAAUGUGGCACGCCACUGGUCUUGACAUCGACCGCCACUAUGGUGCUGACACCGCCCAAUUUCUCCUUAUUGGAGGCGGCAGCUCGGGUCCAUUCAAAAAUGGUGAAGAAAAUGUUAACAGAUAAAUAUGGUAGAGGCCGAGAGAAGAAGAAGGGUAUGUGGGGGUGGAUUAAGGCAUUGAGUUGCAGCGAUGGUGCCACAAUCAGUUGUCAAAGGCUCCAUUAGUUGCAUUAUACUUGUCUAAUAUGAAAAAAAAGAUAUUUCAAGAUUAAAUUCACUGGCAAUGUCAAAUACAACCCAACUUUUGAUCUAUACAUAAUCAUCUAGCAUUAGUCGGGAGAGAAGGGGGGAGGGGGUAGAUAUGAGGUAGGGGAGAAGAGAAAUUUGAAGAGAUAUGAGAGAGAAAAAUAAUAAAAAACUUAUUUUAUGAUUUAAGGGUAAAAAGUAACCAUAAAUAGAUAUUUGGUUAUAAAAAUCAACAAAUAUUUAUAAAAUAUAAUUUUUAAAAAGGUAUUUAUUUAAAUAAAUAAAGUAUCAACAUAGGAAGUAACUAUUCCUAAAGAAGAGAAAACU